rnacentral:rRNA from 1 species
CUCCACCGGAAAAAGAGGAGUGGCGAACGGGUGAGUAACACGUGGGUAACCUGCCCAUCAGAAGGGGAUACACUUGGAAACAGGUGCUAAUACCGUAUAACAAUCGAAACCGCAUGGUUUUGAUUUGAAAGGCGCUUUCGGGUGUCGCUGAUGGAUGGACCCGCGGUGCAUUAGCUAGUUGGUGAGGUAACGGCUCACCAAGGCCACGAUGCAUAGCCGACCUGAGAGGGUGAUCGGCCACAUUGGGACUGAGACACGGCAAACUCCUACGGGAGGCAGCAGUAGGGAAUCUUCGGCAAUGGACGAAAGUCUGACCGAGCAACGCCGCGUGAGUGAAGAAGGUUUUCG